GCAGAGCAUCCUACGGGAGGCAGCAGUGGGGAAUAUUGCACAAUGGGCGCAAGCCUGAUGCAGCCAUGCCGCGUGUAUGAAGAAGGCCUUCGGGUUGUAAAGUACUUUCAGCAGUGAGGAAGGUGGGUAUGUUAAUAGCAUAUUCAUUUGACGUUUAGCUGCAGAAGAAGCACCGGCUAACUCCGUGCCAGCAGCCGCGGUAAUACGGAGGGUGCGAGCGUUAAUCGGAAUUACUGGGCGUAAAGCGCAUGCAGGUGGUUUGUUAAGUCAGAUGUGAAAGCCCGGGGCUCAACCUCGGAAUUGCAUUUGAAACUGGCAAACUAGAGUACUGUAGAGGGGGUAGAAUUUCAGGUGUAGCGGUGAAAUGCGUAGAGAUCUGAAGGAAUACCGGUGGCGAAGGCGGCCCCCUGGACAGAUACUGACACUCAGAUGCGAAAGCGUGGGGAGCAAACAGGAUUAGAUACCCUGGUAG
rnacentral:rRNA from 1 species